rnacentral:lncRNA from 1 species
GGCUCUCGUUCCUUUGCGUGUCCCAGGCUGGGAGCAUUUGCAUGUGUACCCCUGAGGCACACGUCAGCCCUUGCUCUCUUGCCAUCUCCGUUGCUCCCAUCAGCUGUCUGCCUUUGCUUUCCAUCUCUGUCCAACACUGCCUCCCUGGGCUCUGCAGCAUCUCCGCCCUCCUCAGCCAUUCCUACUCAAAAGCUCUUUUCACCACUUGGUAAGCCUCCUAACAAAAGUGGCUUGUCCUUGUGAAUCUUCUUCUUUUUGUCCCCCUCCGCUGCCGUGUUUAGGAAGAACAGCGCCAGAAGCUAGUCAACAGCCUCAGGGGAAAGCUGAGGCCAUACCGAGGCUUCCUUUACCCACUGCCACGGACAUUGCCACGGUAAUGAGUUCCUCCCUUCCUGGCACACUUGUCCCAGCAGCAGCAGGAGACUUGUGGGAACACAGGGCUCCAGCAUCAGUGCGGCUGGUGUGGCCUCGCUGUUCUGGCCCGCGCGGUCCUGCUGUCCCUGAGUAGGGCCUUUCCAUAGGCCUCCCAGCAGCAGUUUCUCCUGGCCCUCCUGGCCACCAGCAAGCCCCGCAUAUCUCCAGGGCCAGCACCCUGGGCCCGUGCCUCCAACCCUGGUCCCUCACCCCGAGGGCUCUUCUCAGCCCCCACCACGCAGGGACUGCAGCCCCUGCUUCCUGCUUUCCCGUGGGCACUGCUGCCAGCACGCUCAGGCAUCUGUCUCCAGAGCUGCUCUCACCGCUCAGUUCUGCAGCACCAUCGGGGCACUUGCUGCAACGUGUCUUACGUCCCUUCCUCCUUGCAGAACUUUGGAAAAUACCUCCAGCAGUCUCAGAGGACAGACGUCAUCCUCAAGGUCAUUGAAGCCCUGAGAGACUCCAACACAUACGACAAGCAGGAGGUCAGCGGUGUGCUGGACAUGGCCAUCGAAGACCCUGCCUCCUGGCUGACCGACGUGCCAGAGAUCGUGAGGUGCAUCUACAGACACGUGGAGUGCAUCAACACGGCAUCAGCCCGGCGCAGCCUGGACAACCUCAUCCUCUGUCUGGCCAACCAGCGGCCAAGGGAGGUGGCCAGCACCCUGCUGCAGAUGUGGCCAUCAUCUG